rnacentral:rRNA from 1 species
GAGAGAGCUUGCUUUCUCGAGCGAGUGGCGAACGGGUGAGUAACGCGUGAGGAACCUGCCUCAAAGAGGGGGACAACAGUUGGAAACGACUGCUAAUACCGCAUAAGCCCACGGCUCGGCAUCGAGCAGAGGGAAAAGGAGCAAUCCGCUUUGAGAUGGCCUCGCGUCCGAUUAGCUAGUUGGUGAGGUAAUGGCCCACCAAGGCGACGAUCGGUAGCCGGACUGAGAGGUUGAACGGCCACAUUGGGACUGAGACACGGCCCAGACUCCUACGGGAGGCAGCAGUGGGGAAUAUUGCACAAUGGGGGAAACCCUGAUGCAGCGACGCCGCGUGGAGGAAGAAGGUCUUCGGAUUGUAAACUCCUGUUGUUGAGGAAGAUAAUGACGGUACUCAACAAGGAAGUGACGGCUAACUACGUGCCAGCAGCCGCGGUAAAACGUAGGUCACAAGCGUUGUCCGGAAUUACUGGGUGUAAAGGGAGCGCAGGCGGGAAGACAAGUUGGAAGUGAAAUCUAUGGGCUCAACCCAUAAACUGCUUUCAAAACUGUUUUUCUUGAGUAGUGCAGAGGUAGGCGGAAUUCCCGGUGUAGCGGUGGAAUGCGUAGAUAUCGGGAGGAACACCAGUGGCGAAGGCGGCCUACUGGGCACCAACUGACGCUGAGGCUCGAAAGUGUGGGUAGCAAACAGGAUUAGAUACCCUGGUAGUCCACACCGUAAACGAUGAUUACUAGGUGUUGGAGGAUUGACCCCUUCAGUGCCGCAGUUAACACAAUAAGUAAUCC